rnacentral:rRNA from 1 species
UACGAAGGGGGCUAGCGUUGCUCGGAAUCACUGGGCGUAAAGGGUGCGUAGGCGGGGCUUUAAGUCAGGGGUGAAAUCCUGGAGCUCAACUCCAGAACUGCCUUUGAUACUGAAGAUCUUGAGUCCGGGAGAGGUGAGUGGAACUGCGAGUGUAGAGGUGAAAUUCGUAGAUAUUCGCAAGAACACCAGUGGCGAAGGCGGGUCUCUGGACAGUUCCUGACGCUGAGGCACGAAGGUCAGGGGAGCAAACGGG